rnacentral:rRNA from 1 species
UACGUAGGGUGCGAGCGUUGUCCGGAAUUAUUGGGCGUAAAGAGCUUGUAGGCGGUCUGUCGCGUCUGCUGUGAAAAUCCGGGGCUCAACCCCGGGCCUGCAGUGGGUACGGGCAGACUAGAGUGCGGUAGGGGAGACUGGAAUUCCUGGUGUAGCGGUGAAAUGCGCAGAUAUCAGGAGGAACACCGAUGGCGAAGGCAGGUCUCUGGGCCACUACUGACGCUGAGGAGCGAAAGCGUGGGGAGCGAACAGGA